rnacentral:rRNA from 1 species
UACGUAGGGCGCAAGCGUUGUCCGGAAUUAUUGGGCGUAAAGAGCUCGUAGGCGGCUUGUCACGUCGGGUGUGAAAGCCCGGGGCUUAACCCCGGGUCUGCAUUCGAUACGGGCAGGCUAGAGUGUGGUAGGGGAGAUCGGAAUUCCUGGUGUAGCGGUGAAAUGCGCAGAUAUCAGGAGGAACACCGGUGGCGAAGGCGGGUCUCUGGGCCAUACUGACGCUGAGGAGCGAAAGCGUGGGGAGCAAACAGGAUUAGAACCGUAC